rnacentral:rRNA from 1 species
GAUCCUGGCUCAGAUUGGACGCUGGCGGCAGGCCUAACACAUGCAAGUCGAACGGUAACAGGAAGAAGCUUGCUUCUUUGCUGACGAGUGGCGGACGGGUGAGUAAUGUCUGGGAAACUGCCUGAUGGAGGGGGAUAACUACUGGAAACGGUAGCUAAUACCGCAUAACGUCGCAAGACCAAAGAGGGGGACCUUCGGGCCUCUUGCCAUCGGAUGUGCCCAGAUGGGAUUAGCUAGUAGGUGGGGUAACGG